GCUCCGGUAGCUCAGCUGGAUAGAGCAUCUGCCUUCUAAGCAGAGGGUCGUGGGUUCGAGUCCCGCCCGGAGCACCA
rnacentral:tRNA from 2 species